AACGAACGCUGGCGGCAUGCCUAACACAUGCAAGUCGAACGAGACCUUCGGGUCUAGUGGCGCACGGGUGCGUAACGCGUGGGAACCUGCCCUUAGGUUUGGAAUAACUCCCCGAAAGGGGUGCUAAUACCGGAUAAUGUCUUCGGACCAAAGAUUUAUCGCCUUUGGAUGGGCCUGCGUUGGAUUAGCUAGUUGGUAGGGUAAAAGCCUACCAAGGCGACGAUCCAUAGCUGGUCUGAGAGGAUGAUCAGCCACACUGGGACUGAGACACGGCCCAGACUCCUACGGGAGGCAGCAAUGGGUAAUAUUGGACAAUGGGCGAAGGCCUGAUCCAGCAAUGCCGCGUGAGUGAUGAAGGCCUUAGGGUUGUAAAGCUCUUUUACCCGGGAUGAUAAUGACAGUACCGGGAGAAUAAGCUCCGGCUAACUCCGUG
rnacentral:rRNA from 1 species